rnacentral:rRNA from 1 species
ACGUAGGUGGCGAGCGUUAUCCGGAAUUAUUGGGCGUAAAGGGUGCGCAGGCGGUUUGAAAAGUUUAAGGUGAAAGCGUGGGGCUUAACCCCAUACAGCCUUAGAAACUGUCAGACUAGAGUACAGGAGAGGGCAAUGGAAUUCCAUGUGUAGCGGUAAAAUGCGUAGAUAUAUGGAGGAACACCAGUGGCGAAGGCGGUUGCCUGGCCUGUAACUGACGCUCAUGCACGAAAGCGUGGGGAGCAAAUAG